AGAGGCUGGGGGACGGCCGCUGGCUCUUGCCUUUGGCAAGGGCGGGAGGAAAGUCCGGACGCCAUAGAGCAAGGCACUCCCUAACGGAGAGCGGGGGCAACCCCAGGGAAAGCGCAACAGAAAGCAUACCGCCUACCGCCUGCCGUUAACCCGGCGGGCGCGGUAAGGGUGAAAUGGUGGGGUAAGAGCCCACCGCGGCGGUGGCGACAUCGCUGGCAUGGCAAGCCCUGCCUGGCGCAAGGCCAAAUAGGGAAGCGCGCCUGGCUGAAAGGCCAGGCAUAAGGCGGCUCGUCUUACGCUUCCGGGUAGGCCGCUGGACCGCCCGGCAACGGAGCGGCUAGAGGAAUGGCCGUCAUCGGAACCUUUCGGGGUUCCGGCACAAAAUCCGGCUUACAACCGGCCUCUUCAU
rnacentral:RNase_P_RNA from 1 species